rnacentral:lncRNA from 1 species
CCCUCUCUUUUCGCUUCUUCCAUGUUGGCUUACCGUAGCAGUCGCUCUAAGCUUUCUCAUCCUACUGAUGGUAUUUUAGGCGAACUCGCUUGCAGCACCCGCUUCUCGGGUCUGGUUCUAGUUCUUCGUUGCUGUGCCAGUGCCACCUAAACAAUGCCAUGGGCCGACCAGUCCGUCACAUCCACUGCUACAACUUCGAGUAAAGCUAAAGAAAACUCAUAGUUACUGUAUGAUUUCGGCCUCCUAGGUAAAUGGGUUUCUUAUUUUACUCUUCUUUUACUUGAACUUGUUCAAUCGUGGUUGUUGGUAUUAAGUGGGUUCCAUGAAUGUGCAGGAUACUAUACGAUUUCGGCCUGUUAUGUAAAUGGAUUUCUUCUUUUACUCUUCUUUUCUUUUAUCGCAUUUUAUGAUUAUUUUUUCUUGGUUUUGAUUUCGUUCAUUUUUGUAGGAGUAUUUUUCUCCUAUGGGCUGGUCACUCAAGAGGGACAUUGUAUGGUGUGUCUAGGGAGGUGGCUGUUGCUUUUGAGGAGGUGAUACGGGUUAGGGUUAUGGUGGAGAGAUAAAUCCUCUUAGUGAGUUAAUCGUUAAUUUUUGAAGCUGAUAUAUGUAGUUGAAAUUUAGCAUCAUUUGUUUAUAAAGUUUAUGUGACAACGGAUAUGCUCUAGCUGGGAACUGUUAUAGGUGAACAUUAAUAAAUGUAGUAUGUUUUCAUAGUUUUAAUUUUUGCCAUGUCUUUUUUAAUGAUGAUUUAGGCUUUCAUGUGGUGAUUUCGACUGAGUUUUUAACUUGUGAGCUUUUCUCUUGUUACUAGAGGUUUUUACCUAUAGGUGUAGGGUUUUUUUUCAUUAAAAAUAGAAUUUGCUAUUCAAUUGAUGUUGAUUUUGCCCUCCUAAUUCUCUCUUUCUCCAAAGUUCUUCUCUUCUACCUAUUUCCUUCUCUUUUAAAUUCUCGUGAUCUCUUAUGCGCCAAAUGCUUCAACUGGAUUCCAUUUUAUUCAGCUUCUCGAUGUUACGUCAAAUUUCAAUUGCUAAAUACGAGCUGUUGCAAGUCUUGAAUUGAAUGAUUGGUGAAUACCAUCAAAUUUCAACUGAUUUGGGUGUCUAAAUGUGAAUAAAUUGCUUUGCUUUGGUUCAGGAUAUUCUGAGAAGUAGAGCAGCUGGUGUGUUCCUUAGUGGUGCUUUAGCGGGACCAUAACCAAAGCCAUUCUCGCUCUUGAGACCAUCAGGUUUUCUAUUUCCCCUUCCCUGAUCCUGGAUUUUUUUUUUUUUUUUUUUAACCUAAUAAAUGAAGCAGAUUGCAUAAUAGUUCAAUUGCGAUACAUUAUUUGAUCAAACUUUAAAAAGAAAAUUCUGGCUUCAUCAAUUCUAGCUUUUCUGUUCCUCUUUGACUCAAUUGUGGUCCUAUUUUAUUUUCUCAAAUUUACAAGAUGGCAUGUCGAAUGAAUAAGUCACUGGAGUCAGUAUUAUAUCAUCAUUCUUCAAGCCUGAAAGAUGAAAGUUGAGUUUUAAUGUAACCCACUUAAACAAGAGUGAGACAACAUCUUUGUUUGAAGAAGAGAGACAAGUCUCUAUUAUAUGUAUAAGGUAACUUCUUUGGUUUGGAGAAAGCUCAUCUUCAUCUUUUAGCUUUGGAUGAUAAUGGGUGAGGAAGUAUGUUUUAUAUAAUUUUUAUUGAAUGUGGGAAUCUCUGUUUGCUAAAAUCCUACACCGCAAGUGCACGGGUUGCGUUCAAGUAAUAAAGUGGACCUUUUAAGUUCAAGUAUCGUCCCACAGAGAUUGUAUUAGUUUAAAUUUAAAUUAUCUUCGCCUUAACCGAAACAAUAGAAAUUCGUGAUUUUUUGCUAACUAUAUUGUGAUUUAAUAACUUACUUAAAGAUAUAAAGUUUAA